CCCCGCGUACCGCCACCUCUUCUGCCCGGACCUGCUGCGGGACAAAGUGGCCUUCAUCACAGGAGGCGGCUCUGGGAUUGGGUUCCGGAUUGCUGAGAUUUUCAUGCGGCACGGCUGCCAUACGGUGAUUGCCAGUAGGAGCCUGCCGCGAGUGCUGACGGUGAGAGGGCCUCUCCCAUGGUCCCCUGUUCGGGUGGCUGUGGGGGGGCUGGGGCUGGGCCUGGGCCAGGAGAGUCCAGAGGCUAUGGGGAUGUUGGCACCAAAACUUUUUUUUUCUGAGACGGGAGUCUCGCUCUGUCACCCAGGCUGAAGUGUGGUGGUGCGAUCUCGGCUCACUGCAGCCUCCACCUCCCAGGAUCAAGCGAUUCUCCUGCCUCAGCCUCCGGAGUAGCUGGGACUACAGGUGCCCGCCACCACGCCUGGCUAAUUUUUGCAUUUUUUUGGUAGAGAUGGGUUUUCACCACGUUGACCAGGCUGGUCUCGAAUUCCUGACCUCAGGUGAUCCGCCCACCUCAGCCUCCCAAAGUGCCAGGAUUACAGGUGUGAACCACUGUGCCCGGCCGGCACCUCAGCCUCCCAAAGUGCCAGGAUUACAGGUGUGAACCACUGUGCCCAGCCGGCACCAAAACUUGCACCUAUCCUAAAUAUGGAGCUUCAGUGUAAGUGGCCUCCCAGAGACAUCUUUGACUUUUUAAAAAAUCUAGUUAUUGGGUUCUGGGAGGGACCUUCCUGUUUGGGGGUAAUGUGGCCCCAAGAAAGACCUCUGGGCUCACCUGGGUUAUUUAGGUGGUCCGUGCGUCCCACCUACUGGAGCCCUCGACCUGGGAGGAGAGUCUCACCUGUGCCACCUCUGGUCUGCAGCAGGGGCAGGACAUGGG
rnacentral:lncRNA from 10 species